CCUACGGGUGGCAGCAGUAGGGAAUCUUCCACAAUGGGCGAAAGCCUGAUGGAGCAACGCCGCGUGGGUGAAGAAGUAUUUCGGUAUGUAAAGCUCUAUCAGCAGGGAAGAAAGAAAUGACGGUACCUGACUAAGAAGCCCCGGCUAACUACGUGCCAGCAGCCGCGGUAAUACGUAGGGGGCAAGCGUUAUCCGGAUUUACUGGGUGUAACGGGAGCGUAGACGGCGAUGCAAGUCUGAAGUGAAAGGCGGGGGCCCAACCCCCGGACUGCUUUGGAAACUGUAUGGCUUGAGUGCAGGAGAGGUAAGUGGAAUUCCUAGUGUAGCGGUGAAAUGCGUAGAUAUUAGGAGGAACACCAGUGGCGAAGGCGGCUUACUGGACUGUAACUGACGUUGAGGCUCGAAAGCGUGGGGAGCAAACAGGAUUAGAUACCCCAGUAGUC
rnacentral:rRNA from 1 species